UUGAGUGUUGAGCUGGGCAGCCAUCUUCUCCCUUUUGAUUACCAUCCUCGCCACCAUCAUUCCAUGAUCCAUCGAGUUGCUGCACCUUCCCAAACCUUGAUUUCUUCACUGGAACUUAUGAUUGCUGCUCAUGUGGUCUUUUUCUUCUUCUUCUUCUUCUUCUUCUUCUUAUUCAUCAUCACCAUCUUCAUUCUCACUUGUUAGCCGGCUUGCGGAGGUGGAUUUAGUGUCUCGGCAGGAUGGACAAAGGGAAACACUAUGAGCUCUCCGGUUUCUCUCCCUCUCUUUGAGUUCAUCUCGUUGCGAGGAUUUUGAUGAGGUUUGAGUUGGGGUUCGGAUGAGUUGGAGUUUUAACGAGUAGCAAAUCAAGAGUAAUAGACCUUCGUGGAUCUUGAAAGAUUGACUGUAGAUGUUUUCUUUUGUUGUAAAUUUGAGUUCUUGUCAUUGUCUAUCCCUGUAUUCCUGUAUUUUGUAUUUUGGACUUCUUAUAUGCCAGUAUUGUGUACUUUGUAGUCUUUAAUCCUG